CAUGAUGCAGCCCUGCUCUGCAAUAGUUUACAUGAACGUGGUAGCUUCUCAUGGGUGGCACAAGAAUUCAGAUCAGUCUAUGUUAAAAGCUCUCAGUGCAGGGAAAAUACAGAAAUUGGAACAGCAGAAUGUAACAUGAAAAGCUAUGGCAGUGGGAAGAGGCCAGCUGGUUCAACGUGCCCGUCCUUUUAAAGCAGGCUGCACUGUUGAUGGUUCUCCUGCUGGUGCUCACUCCUGAGAUUCCAAGCUUAGUCUUCUGAAUAGGAGAUACAGCGUGCUGCCAUGCUUGCCAAACCUAUUUGAUCAGCACACACAGCUUGAGGAAAAAACAAGGAAGAAGCAGGAAUGCAAAUUUUAGAGAAAUCUUUCAAACUCUGCAGUGAUCGGUGAGGUCUGCUCUCACCUGGAGGAAGGACCGAUUGUGCACCCAGUUCUGUGCUAAUGGGAAGUUUAAACUUUGUGCAUCUUAACUUCAUGUAGCAUGCUUCUUCUCUGCACAGUGGGGGCUCCGGCAGCUGGGGAUGCAGGACGUGGGGCUGGCGGCAGGAGCUGUCAGUAUCUCUGUCUGAGUCACAACAGCUAUUCCUUGUUAUCUGCGGUUGAAGAAUACAUAGAGCCAGCACGUUUCAGCAUGAGUAUAUGGAUUCUGAAAAUCAGCAUAAGCACAGGAAUCCUGGUAAAAUGCAGCAAAGGAUUUAAGGUUAUCAUCUGUCUCUCCCUAACUUCUGACAUCUCUUUAUAACAAGAAAGAGUCACAGCCAACUGUAACAGGAGGGCAACACAAUGAAUCCCGGUGCCGAAGAAGCUGUGGAUCCCUCAGUUACGCUCAGUUAUGCCUGGUUUAUUACUAAUGAAGGUAAUGGGUGGAGUAGCAGACAUCGGUGAAGCAGCUACAAGGUGAUGUUUGCAAAGCAAGGCUUUGAGCUCCCCUGCUCUGUACCCAUUUGUCACUCCUUUCAAAAAGAAGAUGGAAACUCUUGGUAUGGAUGCAAAACUCAGAAGAGGUCUGUGCCAAAUAAGAGCAAGAACACAGCUGCACAAGACUCAGCACACUUCUCAUAGACAAAAUGCAAUGAAGGAAAAGAAGGCACUUUAAGCUAAAUCAGAGAUUAUUAUAGAAUGCUUUUCCCAUUCAGCUUGCUCUAGAAGGAAUAUGUACAUGCAGCAGCAGCACUUGGGGUAUGAAGAGCUUCUUUGAAAGCAGAAGCAGUUGCCAGUAUUUGAGGUGUGGAUGGUAAGUGAGAAAAUCAGCUGUUCCUGCAGAGGUGCCCCCAGCAACAGCAGCUUCUGAGAAAUCCUGCUUUUGUGUCCUCAAUGAGAACACAGCCUGGAAUGACUGACAGCAAGCUCUGUUUGCAGGAAGCAUUUCGGACCAUCAUCCAUUGCCUGAGGAGGUUUCCAGAGGCCAAGCAGAAGCAAUCAGCUGUGUAAACAUUUCAAGGUACAGAAGGAGCCAUAAACACAGAGCCACAAAUGGAGUUUGUGCAGAUCCUUGCUGUACUGGUCUGUGAAGGCAUGCUGUUAUCUUUCAAACAGUGGUGCACAGGGGCGUUAGGCAGUGGUCGGGUCCUUCACCCUUGGCAUCUUACUGUGCUUGUUUUACCUUCCAACUCUUCAUCUUAACACCUCCAGUCUAUUUCAAAUACUAUACACAAAGCCUUCCUGUUGGCAAAGGGGAACAUACUGCAUAUAUGGACCUAUUAAUUUAUUGUUAGUCUAAGGUUUUCAACAGUCUGAUAGUAAAAAUUACCAAAUCCAUACAGGAAGAUGUUAUAAAAUAGAGUUGAAAUUGUUAGACAAAAUUUCCCUGUUCUCUUGUGUUGUGCUUACUCCUCCAGUGUGCCUUUGGGUCUUAAGAUUGACAUCUUAGUAUUUCUCAAAAGGAAUGGGGGAGUAUGGUGAGUCAUCACCAGGACGAGCAAGAUAUUCAGGGGUGGGGGGAUAGCUUUUUUUCCUCGGUCUGGUGUAUUCUUGAAUUUUAUUUUAUAUGUUUUCUUAACACUAGAAGCUCACUGUGAUUGAAAGACUAUGAUCUGCAUCCUCUGUGUUUGCAUUUCCAUGACUUACUGUAAAGCCAUAGGCAAUUUAAUCCACAAGGAAAAGUCACUUGUUUUUAUUAUAAACUAAAAUUAAAUUGAAACAAAUCGAGUUGCAUGUACCUCAAAGUUACAUGCAGCCAAAAGAAUUUAAAAUCUACUUAGGCCAAGACAGAAUUGCCAAGGCCCUGUACCAUCACAUCAACAUAAAACACGGUUGGCCCUGCUUACCCACCAGGUGCUCAAUCACUAGUUCAAGCCCUGACUUAGCAUUUCUGCUACAGAGAAUCAUAGAAUCAUAGAAUGGCCUGGGUUGAAAAGGACCAUAAUGAUCAUCUAGUUUCAACCUCCCUGCUAUGUGCAAGGUCGCCAACCACCAGACCAUGCUGCCCAGAGCCACGUACAGCUUGACCUUGAAUGCCUUCAGGGACAGGGAGAGACCAUAGUGUAAUCUGUGAGGGUAUAGGAUAAUUAAAAUCAUACACUUCAAUCUAACAUAGAAACUUCACACACACGCACAGAGGAAUGUUUGUGAGGUAGUCCACAAUUUCUGGAAUUGGGAAUGCAUACAAACGCAGCUAGAUCCCACAUAUAUGAUUAUAGACUGCUUAGAAGCAGAAGGAGAAGUGCCAUGAUCAUAUAUAGUUAACUUUCAAGCUAAGCAGUCAUGUGAAGAGUGGAAACUAAUAUCUUCACAUAUAUAUUGCAUAUUUCAAUAUUUUUUCCAGCAUUCUUCUGAAAGUCUCACUGGAAUAUUCCAUUUUCUGCGAUAGUCUGUGUUCACAGAUGCACAGUUUUAUUACAAGAAACACUCAUUUUAUAUAUCUCCAAAAUUAUGUGAUCACCUUCUUGGUACAAAAAGAACUGUUCCAGCAACUUGGUACACGAUUACAUAGCUUACAUAUCUGUAGUGUUUGCAGCAUGUGCUAAGUUCAGGAUUUUUCAAAAGAUUUCCAAUACAGUAGUACACAAGUUUAUGUAAGAACUCUGAUUUUUCCAUCACAAAAAAUGUUUGUACCUUGUUGAACCGUCUUUGCUUUUAUGUUCUUUAAACACGUGCCCUUGUGCACCUCUGAGAAAAAUUUGGCUCUGAUUUCUCUAUAGCUUCCCAUGAUGUAUUUUUAGGCAGCAAUAAAUCCCUGCCAUCCCCUCGGCCUUUUCAGGGCUGAGGAAUCGCAGCUCCCUCGGCCUCUCCUGGCACGCUGCCUAGCGCCUGGCCUGCUCUGCUCUAGCGCCGUACGGCAGUGUCUGCCUUGUACUGUAGGAGAUACCAUAAUUAAAUUCGUAAUUUUCAUUUAUGGCUUCUACUUUCGUUCACAUGCUUCUUGACAGUGGAAUGCUUUUAACUUGUUCUGCAGCUGUACCCUCUUCUCAAGCAUUAUGCUGUGCCAGUUCAGUUGGAUGUGCUCCUGUUUCAGCUUUAAGUUUCCCUUCUGCAAAGUCCAAAUUUCUGCUAGCACUGCCUUUUCUACAUUUUCUUCUCUUGCUGCUAACCAGCACAUUAUAGGCUAGGCAAGAGAAGAAUUUAGACUUUGUUUUCUUUUAAUUUUAGAAAAGGUUGCUUUGCUGCCUGAAUAGUUUUGCAAGAAGCUAGAUCCAAGGAUAUGCUCAUCACUGGAUUUAGACCAGACAAGUUUAGAAAGAAGAACAUUUCCAAAGACAAUUUAAGAUAAGAAGAGCAGCAGAGCUCAUCUGAGUUUGCACAUGUCUGGCAGCAUUUGGCUCUGCAGAGUGCGGACACAGAGAGUGUCUGAGUUUCCCCUGCAGUCAAUGAGAACAGGGGAUAGUCAUAUUUGGCAGAAAGUAUUCUCUCUUUUGCAGGAUUUGACUCUUGAAGAACCCCACACUAUAAUGAAAAACUCUUCCUCACAUCUCCCCACUUCCAAUUCAGGAGCUUAAAAUGAUUGCAUUACCAUUAGAAACAUUACAAAGAAAUCAGUCUAAAAAUCACUCUAGCAAAGGCAGUGGAGCUGCAACUGCAGGUGUCAUGGAAUUUAGUGUGAAAGAUGGUGUUUCCAAAUUUGUUUCUGAAAUAUUUGAAAAGACUGUGUAAAGAGGGGAAGCAAGCAAACUAGCAGGCAGUGUUUUUUCCCUCUGUGGUUUUUGUGGACUAAGAAUAGAGAGAACAUGUAGCAAGCAUCUUGCUAUUAAAUUUGCCCAUGACAAAUAGUGCAGCUGCACAUAGUGUGCAAGAACAUCUGUAGACUCAUGACACAUGCAAAAUUCCCCACACUAAGAACGUGACAUUAUGCUGAAAACAAUUCAGUUGUAAAAGCAACAUAAAUCCAUUUUACAUAGACUUUCUCCACCUUUCCUCCCCUUCUCUUUUGAAUUAUGUUAACUGAAGAAUUCUGUCUCUCCUACAUGACAUUAGUAAAAAUCACAAUGUAAAAGUGAGUAAACAUUUCAGAAUUGUCCUUUUUUUCAUUAGCGGCUGGAAGGCAGGUAUGCCUUUCCUGGAGGAAAAGAAAGUUUAAGAAAGAAUAACCAGCAGCAGAAAUGCAUUAGACACCAAAUCCUACUCCAAGUGGAUCUUGACAGGGUUUGGCAGCUGCAAUUUAACUCUUCAGAAAUCAAGGGGUGAUUUCCUGUGUCUCUUGUGCAGUUGUUCAGUCCUAAGUGAGCAGUGGGAUUGCUACCAGCCUUUACUUCGCUGAUAUAGAUGCUUGCACAAAAUGCAGCAAUAGGGAACAAUAUGUCUAAAAUGUGUAGGUUUCUAAGAUAAAGGGAAAUUCCCUAGCUGGGAUUUAUUUGAGUUCCCAUAGUUUCUCUGACAAAAUAAUGCAGUUAUUGUGGAAUUCUUUAGAAGUUCAUCUAAGCUCCACAUUGCCCUAAUGAAUCAUAGAAUGGCUUAGUUGGAAGGGACCUUAAAGAUCAUCUAGUUCCAAACCCCUCCUUCUCCAAUACUUUCUUUGCAAUCUUUAGACUUACUGAAGUAAAAAAAUCUUAAAAUGGCAACACAAAUACUAAUUUUUGUUGCGAGUCUGAGGUUAUUUAAAGGCUUUGUGAUAGUAAUGUCAUGAGAAGGCAGACCUAGGCAUGCUGUUAGUAUCUGGAUCAUAAUUAACUUGUUUCUUUGGAAACAUCUCACUUACUUACUCUGACAUUCAGUCAGAACAGUUCAUAGUAACUACCUGAACCUCCAAGAACAUUUCCCCAUUCUUUAUGUAGAGCGCAGAAUGAGACUGAAGCUGGAGGUGUCAUCCAGCUGGGUCCUAAUUUUCAGCUCUCUGCCCAUUAAAUUCCUGCAACCUAACUGCAAAACCAUAAGAGCAAUGUAAUGAUGUUAUUGAGAGCAUACAUUUUGAGCAUACUGACUUUCUGUAUUCUUUGGUUAAGUCCUUGGAAUUCAGUUUCCUUUCCUAAGUGCAGAAAGCCUUGUUUUUCAAUUUCAGAGAGAUAUAGAGCACAAAUGAGAAUGUUUUUAAAGCACUCUGAAGAUGGAAAAAGUGUGCAAGUACCACUGAUGUCACCUGACAACAUUUGUUUACUGUUAGGGGUAUAUUAAUAUCUUAGUUUAAUUAGAUUUGAUUCCUUAUUCAAUAACACAAUGAUUUCUAAAAUUCACUUCCUGGUUUGAUGUCCAGCAACUGUUUACACAAGAUACGUGAUGAUGUACGUCACCAUAGCAGGAAGGAAUAUCCUGAGAAGCAGGAGUUGGGAAAUGCCCCUUUUUUAACCUGUUUUAUGUCCCCACCUCUCAUGCAGAGAAGUACACGUUCAGUGGUGAGUUGUGACUGCAGUCAGUUGUGGCCUCUCCAUGCUGGCAAUGACUGCCUGUUGUCCGCACUGUGCGCCUGAACGUCACUGCUGUAAUCCUUUUUUGUCUCUGCCUGUGCAUUAGUUGCUCUCUGAGGUACACGACACAGCAGUUGCAAGCAGCUCAAUAUAGUAAUGGGCUCUGGCGAAUAAUGAAAGUAGCGAUAAGGUUUUUAAAACAUUAGCACUGCAAGGAGCUGUGGGAGAACGUAGCAAAGCUAUUCUUACAUGGUACGCAAAGCAGAGCACUUCAGCUCCACUUUUGCACUUUUACUCUAAAUAAAUUGAAGGGUUUUAUGAUGAUUUUAAAGGCCUCAUUUUGUUUUUCUCAAGGCAGAAUAACUGUAACUCUUAGUGAGUAGACACUCUGUUUUCCCAUAGACAAGCUAUUUGAAAAAUGCAGGUAAUAAAAUAAACACCAGUCUAGAAAAAACAAACUUACUUGUUUUAGACCAGAAGGAGACAAAAUCAGCAUUAAGAUUAUUAUUAUUGUAGCUGAUUUAAUUCUCAUUUGUUUAUCUUCAUUUCUGUCUCUGCUGCUGUGAGUCUUGUUUAUUGGCUUCUCAGCCAGGAGACUAUCCUGUAGGAAAUUGCUGUCAGCAGUCAGAAAGAGAAUCAGCAAUUCAUCCUCAUGCACUAUCAACUUAAGUCUAAAGUAAUUUAGCUGCCUUGUAAGUUCAUGCUGAAGCAGUGAGUUUACAAAUUGAUAAAUCAAACCAUAUUAAUAAAGAAAACAUAUACCUCUUUUUCAAAUAUUCUGCUUUCUUAAAACUUUGUUGUAAGCAGUUUUUAGUAAUUGCAUGUUCAAUUUCUAGAAAAAAAGAGAAAGAAGUCAAAUUAUGAAGUGUAUUCUGUACAAGGUUUAAAACAGAAAGGCUAUUUAACUACUCCUUAUUCAGCCCUAACAAAUGCACACUGAACAUCCAGAAUGGUAGCAUGGUAUGGUACCUUUAAAUGGUACCUGCUUUUACUGGGCUAUUUGAUUUGUGUAUCCUGUGGCUGAAGGCAAUGCCCUGCAGCAGCAGACCCUGACUCCUUGUGUCCUUCUGCUCGUCCUACCAGCAUGUGAUGGAGGAGGCCUCAGGCCCAGAGUAGAAAUUUGUUUGCAAUGCUUCAGGUACCACAGAAUGCGAUGGUUUCAGGCAGAGGAUUAUGCUGUAAUUAUAAAAGUCAUUUGUGAAUUUAAAAACCGAAUGUAUGCUGAUUUUGUGGUGUCCUCUCAAGUCUGCAUAAGUAUUGGAUACCUGUCAUGGGCAUGCUAACAUCCACUGAUCUGCUGUGUGCAUCCACUGCUUACAACCAGGUUUAACAGACUCAGAAGACUUGCUCACUGGUGUCAUUGUGCAGGCUGACAAAUGGCCUCCGGGAACAGUGAGGCACUUGCAUUCUAGCUCUGCUGUGAGUCUAGAGUGAUCUCCUGGGUUGUGGGAAAGUUUCC